rnacentral:rRNA from 1 species
GAUGAACGCUGGCGGCGUGCCUAAUACAUGCAAGUCGAGCGAACGGACGAGAAGCUUGCUUCUCUGAUGUUAGCGGCGGACGGGUGAGUAACACGUGGAUAACCUACCUAUAAGACUGGGAUAACUUCGGGAAACCGUAGCUAAUACCGGAUAAUAUUUUGAACCGCAUGGUUCAAAAGUGAAAGACGGUCUUGCUGUCACUUAUAGAUGGAUCCGCGCUGCAUUAGCUAGUUGGUAAGGUAACGGCUUACCAAGGCAACGACGCAUAGCCGACCUGAGAGGGUGAUCGGCCACACUGGAACUGAGACACGGUCCAGACUCCUACGGGAGGCAGCAGUAGGGAAUCUUCCGCAAUGGGCGAAAGCCUGACGGAGCAACGCCGCGUGAGUGAUGAAGGUCUUCGGAUCGUAAAACUCUGUUAUUAGGGAAGAACAUAUGUGUAAGUAACUGUGCACAUCUUGACGGUACCUAAUCAGAAAGCCACGGCUAACUACGUG